CUCCCGGUUGAUCCUGCCGGACCCGACUGCUAUCAGAGUGGGACUAAGCCAUGCGAGUCAACAUAGCAAUAUGUGGCAUACGGCUCAGUAACACGUAGUCAACAUGCCCAGGGGACGUGGAUAACCUCGGGAAACUGAGGAUAAACCGCGAUAAGUCACUACUUCUGGAAUGGGUAAUGACUCAAAUCUACAUGGCCCCUGGAUUGGACUGCGGCCGAUCAGGCUGUUGGUGAGGUAAUGGCCCACCAAACCUGUAACCGGUACGGGCUCUGAGAGGAGGAGCCCGGAGAUGGGCACUGAGACAAGGGCCCAGGCCCUAUGGGGCGCAGCAGGCGCGAAACCUCUGCAAUAGGCGAAAGCCUGACAGGGUUACUCUGAGUGAUUUCCGCUAAGGGGAUCUUUUGGCACCUCUAAAAAUGGUGCAGAAUAAGGGGUGGGCAAGUCUGGUGUCAGCCGCCGCGGUAAUACCAGCACCCCGAGUGGUCGGGACGAUUAUUGGGCCUAAAGCAUCCGUAGCCGGUUCUGCAAGUCUUCCGUUAAAUCCAGCCGCUCAACGGAUGGGCCGCGGAGGAUACUACAGGACUAGGAGGCGGGAGAGGCAAGCGGUACUCAGUGGGUAGGGGUAAAAUCCUUUGAUCCAUUGAAGACCACCAGUGGCGAAGGCGGCUUGCCAGAACGCGCUCGACGGUGAGGGAUGAAAGCUGGGGGAGCAAACCGGAUUAGAUACCCGGGUAGUCCCAGCUGUAAACGAUGCAGACUCGGUGAUGGGCUAGCCUUGUGCCAGCCCAGUGCCGCAGGGAAGCCGUUAAGUCUGCCGCCUGGGGAGUACGGUCGCAAGACUGAAACUUAAAGGAAUUGGCGGGGGAGCA
rnacentral:rRNA from 1 species